CACUUCGGUGAUAGCAUAGGUAUUUAAAAUAUCACUUCUCAAUGGAUCACUGAAGUUAAGAAACUUCGCCCGUGGUUGGUAUCCGGAUGGGUGAUCAUCAGGAAAGUUGCGUGCUGCAGGCU
rfam:Asian citrus Psyllid, Diaphorina citri - Florida Strain, whole genome shotgun sequence.